rnacentral:lncRNA from 1 species
CUAUUCAAUAGCUCUUUCCUGGUUCGCAAAAUACUACAAGCAUACUAACACAAAUGAGGUUGCCCUUUGCUAGGGCAUGCAGCUUACUCCUACCGUAUACUGGCACCUCAUAGAUUAGAUAGUGGAGAGCCAUGAUGGCUUAAAUCUCAUUGACAAUGAAAUCAUGUGCUUCUAUACUAGCUGAAGGACAUUGUGGGCCCUUUUGGAUGAUAUCUAAUAGUGAAAAAACAUACAAAGCACGGAAAA